AUGAGUCUGAACAAUGAUGAAAUGCCUCCCAGGGGAGUUGGCAGCUUUCUGAAGACUGAAGCACUUUCCUCCAUAUCAGGAUGUCACAACGAAAGAGGAAGGAUGCAUUUGUACCUUAUUAAGAGCCAGGUGAAAGCAUCAUCUACAAAGGGACAGGAAUAACUCUCCUAAAAAAAAAAAAAAAAUCCAGCUGUUGCAAUGCUGUAUCCACCCCAUGCUUAUUCAAAGGGAGGAUGGAAGUGA
rnacentral:lncRNA from 1 species